GAUGAACGCUGGCGGCGUGCCUAAUACAUGCAAGUCGAGCGAACAGACGAGGAGCUUGCUCCUCUGACGUUAGCGGCGGACGGGUGAGUCACACGUGGAUAACCUACCUAUAAGACUGGGAUAACUUCGGGAAACCGGAGCUAAUACCGGAUAAUAUAUUGAACCGCAUGGUUCAAUAGUGAAAGACGGUUUUGCUGUCACUUAUAGAUGGAUCCGCGCCGCAUUAGCUAGUUGGUAAGGUAACGGCUUACCAAGGCAACGAUGCGUAGCCGACCUGAGAGGAUGAUCGGCCACACUGGAACUGAGACACGGUCCAGACUCCUACGGGAGGCAGCAGUGGGGAAUCUUCCGCAAUGGGCGAAAGCCUGACGGAGCAACGCCGCGUGUGUGAUGAAGGUCUUCGGAUCGUAAAGCUCUGUUAUUAGGGAAGAACAGAUGUGUGAGUAACUAUGCACGUCUUGACGGUACCUAAACAAAAAGCCACGGCUAACUACGUG
rnacentral:rRNA from 1 species